UACGUAGGGGGCAAGCGUUGUCCGGAAUCAUUGGGCGUAAAGCGCGUGUAGGCGGCUAGAUAAGUCUGCUCUGAAAGCCCGGGGCUCAACCCCGGGAGGCGGGUGGAUACUGUCUAGCUCGAGUCCGGAAGAGGAGUGUGGAAUUCCCGGUGUAGCGGUGAAAUGCGCAGAUAUCGGGAGGAACACCGGUGGCGAAGGCGGUUCUCUGGGCCUGUUCUGACGCUGAGGAGCGAAAGCGUGGGGAGCGAACAGG
rnacentral:rRNA from 1 species